rnacentral:rRNA from 1 species
AUACGGAGGACGCGAGCGUUAUCCGGAUUCAUUGGGUUUAAAGGGUGCGCAGGCGGCCGUGCAAGUCAGCGGUGAAAGCCCGGGGCUCAACCCCGGAAGUGCCGUUGAUACUGCAUGGCUGGAAUGCGGUCGAGGCGGGCGGAACGGGGCGUGUAGCGGUGAAAUGCGUAGAUAUGUCACAGAACGCCGAUAGCGGAGGCAGCUCGCCAGGCCUGCAUUGACGCUCGGGCACGAAAGCGUGGGGAUCGAACAGGAUUAGAUACCCUGGUAGUCCACGCAGUAAACGAUGAUGGCUAACCGCUGGUUUAUUCGGAUCAGUGGCCAAGCGAAAGCGAUAAGCCAUCCACCUGGGGAGUACGACCGCAAGGUUGAAACUCAAAUGAAUUGGCGGGG